AUAAAAUUAUCGUUUGAGGAUAACGAUAACGAUUUUAAUAUCGCUCACCCGAGCGAUUUUUUUUUCAGUCGAACGAUAACGAUAAAUAUUUGACCAAUCAGCGCGCGUAUACAAGUUAUCGUAUCGUUAUCGUUGUGCAGUGUGACCUGGGCUUAAGGAAUGCAGUAAUACUACAAAAUGUAUUAACAUGUAAGUAAACAUAGCAACGCUUGUCAAUCAGUCGCAAUUUACAUCGAAUUUCAGUCCGAAUUUUACUUGAACGAAUUUCGAAGUGAAUUUCUGCAAAUUAUCCGACAAAACCUGCCACGUGUUUGUGUUCGCAAGUCACAAGAAGCCGCCAAGUGUUCCGCCACGCCAGAGCUAUUUGAGAACAGCGUAGAAAAGUCACAAUAAGCCAUCGCUAAUUCACUCUACGCUGGAGCAAAUCGUUUGAAAACUUUCCCGUCACUUUUGCCGUAACAAUUUGAGCACGGUUUCUAACCGGAGCGAGGUGAAAACGGCGGAGCGCUUGAUAGCUUCGUGUGAACACAAACGUGUAAACUUGAAUGCUUUUCAGUUAAAUUUCUUGGGUCUAUUUGAAAUAUUUUGGGUUUACACGAGUGCUAAUUCAAUUUGUAAACAAACUGUAAUGGCGGUAGUAUGAACACACGUAAAUUCUUUAAUUCUGCCCGCAUUAGUUCGCUCGUGCGUAGUGUGAACGUAGUCUAAUUUUCGGUGACGUUUUCAAACGGCGAGGUAUAGCCUUUAGAAAAAUUUAGAAAUAGUGGAUGUCCGAAGGGCAGGGGGGUAAUUUUGGGCUUGGAUGUCCGGAGAGGGGGGGAGGAUGAACCAUUCAAGGAUGUCCGAAGGGGGGGAGGGGGUUAUUUUCGAUUUCCUCCGUAGGGGGGGUAUGGA